UACGGGGGGGGCAAGCGUUGUUCGGAAUUACUGGGCGUAAAGGGUUCGUAGGUGGCCUGCUAAGUCAGACGUGAAAUCCCUCAGCUUAACUGGGGAACUGCGUCUGAUACUGGAAGGCUUGAGUGCAGGAGAGGAACGCGGAAUUCCAGGUGUAGCGGUGAAAUGCGUAGAUAUCAGGAGGAACACCCGUGGUGCAGACGGCUUGCUGGACCUCCACUGACGCUGAGGCACGAAAGCGUGGGGAGCAAACAGG
rnacentral:rRNA from 1 species